rnacentral:rRNA from 1 species
UUUUAACGGCUGCGGUAUUUUGACUGUGCUAAGGUAGCAUAGUCAUUUGUCAUUUAAUUGAUGACUGGAAUGAAAGGUUAAACUAGCUUAUUAAGUUUGUAGAAUUAGGUAGUAGCUUAAAGUUAAGGUAAGAAUUCUUUAAUUUUCUAGGGGACGAUAAGACCCUAGAAGCUUGACGAGUGUAGUAUUUGGUUUGGGUUAGAAGUAGGUUUGUUUUACUGGGGCGGUAAAAAUAAUUAAGCUAUUUAGUAGUUAAAGGAUCCUUUAAAUAAAGAUAGAAUGGGGAAGUUACUCUAGGGAUAA